rnacentral:rRNA from 1 species
AUUGAACGCUGGCGGCAGGCCUAACACAUGCAAGUCGAGCGAGCGGCGGACGUGUGAGUAAUGUAUGGGGACUGCCCGCUAGAGGGGGAUAACUACUGGAAACGGUAGCUAAUACCGCAUCCUAUCGGAUAACCCAUAUGGGAUUAGCUAGUAGGUGAGGUAAUGGCUCACCUAGGCGACGAUCCCUAGCUGGUCUGAGAGGAUGAUCAGCCACACUGGGACUGAGACACGGCCCUGACGCCAAGGGAGGCAGCAGUGGGGAAUAUUGCAACAUGGGCGCAAGCCUGAUGGAGCCAAGCCGCGGGUAGGAAGAAGGCCCUAGGGUUGUAAAGUACUUUCAGACGGGAGGCGUUACCGACAGAAGAAGCACAGGCUAACUCCGGGCCAGCAGCCGCGGUAAUUC